CCUACGGGUGGCAGCAGUGGGGGAUAUUGCACAAUGGGGGGAACCCUGAUGCAGCAACGCCGCGUGGGUGAAGGAGCGUUUCGGCGCGUAAAGCCCUAUCGGCAGGGAAGAAGGAGGACGGUACCUGACUAAGAAGCCCCGGCUAACUACGGGCCAGCAGCCGCGGUAAUACGGAGGAUGCGAGCGUUAUCCGGAUUGAUUGGGUUUAAAGGGUGCGCAGGCGGAAUGUCAAGUCAGCGGUAAAAUUUCGGGGCUAAACCCCGUCGUGACGUUGAAACUGGCGUUCUUGAGUGAGCGAGAAGUAUGCGGAAUGCGUGGUGUAGCGGUGAAAUGCAUAGAUAUCACGCAGAACUCCGAUUGCGAAGGCAGCAUACCGGCGCUCAACUGACGCUCAGGCACGAAAGCGUGGGUAUCGAACAGGAUUAGAUACCCUUGUAGUC
rnacentral:rRNA from 1 species